rnacentral:rRNA from 1 species
GACGAACGCUGGCGGCGUGCUUAACACAUGCAAGUCGAACGGAAAGGCCUCUUUCGGGGGGUACUCGGGUGGCGAACGGGUGAGUAACACGUGAGUAACCUGCCCUUGACUUUGGGAUAACUUCAGGAAACUGGGGCUAAUACCGGAUAGGAGCUCCUGCUGCAUGGUGGGGGUUGGAAAGUUUCGGCGGUUGGGGAUGGACUCGCGUCUUAUCAGCUUGUUGGUGGGGUAGUGGCUUACCAAGGCUUUGACGGGUAGCCGGCCUGAGAGGGUGACCGGCCACAUUGGGACUGAGAGACGGCCCAGAAUCCUACGGGAGGCAGCAGUGGGGAAUAUUGCACAAUGGGUGGAAGCCUGAUGCAGCAACGCCGUGUGCGGGAUGACGGCCUUCGGGUUGUAAACCGCUUUCGCUCAUGACGAAGCUUUGUGUGACGGUAGUGGGUAAAGAAGCACCGGCUAACUACGUG